GACGAACGCUGGCGGCGUGCUUAACACAUGCAAGUCGAACGGAAAGGCCCUGCUUUUGUGGGGUGCUCGUGUGGCGAACGGGUGAGUAACACGUGAGUAACCUGCCCUUGACUUUGGGAUAACUUCAGGAAACUGGGGCUAAUACCGGAUAGGAGCUCCUGAUGCACGGUGGGGGUUGGAAAGUUUCGGCGGUUGGGGAUGGACUCGCGGGUUAUCAGCUUGUUGGUGGGGUAGUGGCUUACCAAGGCUUUGACGGGUAGCCGGCCUGGGAGGGGGAACGGCCACCAUGGGACUGAGAUACGGCCCAGACGCCUACGGGAGGCAGCAGGGGGGAAUAUGGCACAAUGGGCGGAAGCCUGAUGCAGCAACGCCGCGUGCGGGAAGACGUGCUUCGGGUUGUAAACCGCUGUCGCCUGUGACGAAGCGGGAGUGACGGUAAUGGGUAAAGAAGCACCGGCUAACUACGUG
rnacentral:rRNA from 1 species